ACCAACCUCUCUUAUUCAGUCUAGCCCUCCCUCACUCUGGUUCCUCCAUCUCUCUCAUUUUCCCAAGCUCUGCUCAUCAAAAGACACUGCGAACCCACAUUCAAGGUUGUAACAGAGUAUCCCAAGCCACAAAGGCCCCACAUCGUCCUGUCAUGCCAGAAGUCGCCCACCUGGCCUCCAUGAAGCCGCAGUUGCCAACAGUGACUCCACAGCCCAGUUUUCACGCCACAUCAUUGACCCUCAGAGCACUGACCAGCGCCACCACACUGCUCCCAUGGGAGGAGCUGCACAUGCAAGUGCACACCAUCCUGAUCAUUGUUAUCUUUUGUGUGGUCUGCUUACUGCUGCUACUGGCCUUCGCAUAUGCUUUCUGCUUCCAUUGCUCCAUCCGCUCGUCCCCCAAAGACUCACACAGAGCCACCGCAUGCAGCCUAGACCGCGAGGACGCCACCUACAAGCGCAGUUCGUCCGACAGCCAGUCAGUGGGGAACAUUGUCUGACUGGGGACUCUGCACCAGAAUAACUCAUAUUUGAUUCAUGUUAGGAUUGUGCUGUUCUUGGUUGAGCAUGUAUGGCAUUAUAUGGAUGAGACAUCGGUCGAAACUCCUAUUUAAUUUGAUAUUUAUUUUCAUCAUUCAUUUUGAAGCCUAAAUAAAAGGACAUAGCAGGC